CUAGACCUGAAAUCAGUCGAGGACACCCGCUGAAUUUAAGCAUAUUAUUAAGCGGAGGAAAAGAAAAUAACUAUGAUUCCCUUAGUAACGGCGAGUGAAGAGGGAGGUGCUCAAAGUGAAAAUCGUGGUACCUCUUAUGGUACCGCGAGUUGUAGCCUCUAGAGGCGUUACCAGUGGAGGGGCAGGUCUAAGUUUCUUGGAACAGAACUUCAGAGAGGGUGACAGUCCCGUUUAUUGUCCUGCUCGUUAUGCUUCCACGCACGGUGCGCUUUUAUUGAGUCGCGU
rnacentral:rRNA from 1 species